CCGCAAAUAGGGAGGGAGAGACUUAUAGCCCCUCAGUUGCCAACCCUGAUGUCCAGAAGCUGCUUGAGACAGAAAUCACAGAAAGAAUACAAACGAAGUUCUGGGGAAAAGAAGAACAAGGUGAUCCAGGCACUCCUCAGAUGCUCGAAGCACACAGUAUCAUGUCUGGGCUGAAUUUCUGCUGGGGCCUACCCCUCCUGUCCUUGGAGCCUGCAGAUCUGAAAGCAUCCCUUCAGAAAAAUGUUGAGAUGCCUCCUGCCCUGCCUGAGGCCCAACAAGGAGGAAGCACCAGAGAAUCCCCUUGCAAAGGAAAGCCCGUGUCAGCCACCGCCCAGAGUCAGGCACGGGUCACACACAGCUCGGUGUCGGAUGGCAGGGCUGUUCAGGCACCAUCGACAGUGACAUCUUUUGUCCGGGUCCUGGGAGAAAACUGAGGCUUGCAGAGAACUUCUGGCCUCCCAGUCGAAGCAUCGUAAAAACCAUUUCAGGCCUGGGAAGCUGGACAUGCCUGUUACCAUGAUGUUCCCUCCUCCCCAGACCAGAGAAGAACAAUGACAGAGGACAGUCCCCAAACUACCUCCAGGGAUGAAAACUGUCCGAAUAUCAGGGAAUGGAUCAAAACAGGCAUGGCAACUGGACCUUGCCAUCCAGGCAGCCACAGUCCCCAGCCAAACCCUGCCAGCCUGGGCUGAGGGUGGCAGCUGUUUCAGCCAAUACAUUACUCGCCAUGCUGUCUUCAGAUAUGUGUCUCCUGGGAUGAGUAGACUGUGCCUGACACACCUUUCCUCAUAGGAACGCUUAUCUCCCCAAACGGGGAAGUGGAGGAACAGAAAACCUGGUUUUUCUCCUUAUCCUACCCUCUGUGCUAAUGGUGUCUUCCUACCCCAAUUUUCCCCAAAUACAAUUUUUUUCUCCUUAGAGUUCAUGGCUUCUGUCUGUGCCCUGCUAGUGGUAAAAACUAGGUGAGGCUCCGCUCUUCCUAAGUGUCAGCUUUGGCUUCCAGAAGGGACAGGGCCAUGGGGGGAGGCUGACUGCAGCAUGGCUCACCUGCCCUCAUCCCGACUCCCUCAUUGCACCUGAAGUCCCCAUCAUGCUGUCCUUACAAAAACAAAUGGAAGCUUUAGGAUAUUUCCAGAUGAGCAAAACCUCUAAGACCGCAGCCCAGGAUGGGCCCCGCCUGUCCUCUCCUGCGUUCUCUGGCCCUUGAACUUGUGGGACUGUAUGGAGGGGGUUUGCAGAGGCUCCAGGAAG
rnacentral:lncRNA from 1 species